CUUGAGUAACUAUAAGAGGUCCAGCCUGCCCAGUGACUUUGUUCAACGGCCGCGGUAUCCUAACCGUGCGAAGGUAGCGUAAUCACUUGUCUUUUAAAUGGGGACUUGUAUGAACGGCAUCACGAGGGUUAUACUGUCUCCUUUUUCUAAUCAGUGAAACUAAUCUUCCCGUGAAGAAGCGGGAAUAAACAUAUAAGACGAGAAGACCCUAUGGAGCUUUAAACUCAAUAACAAAUACUGACCUUACAUCAACUUUCAGAAGAUUUACCUUAAUUUUAGUAUUAUGAUUAUUAGUUUUAGGUUGGGGUGACCGCGGAGUAAAAAUUAACCUCCACAUUGAACGGGACCUAUCCCUGAGCCAAGAACUACAGCUCAAAGCACCAACAAAUUGACAUUAAUUGACCCAAUAUUUUGAUCAACGAAC
rnacentral:rRNA from 1 species